rnacentral:rRNA from 1 species
GACGAACCGUGCGAACGUUGUUCGGAAUCACUGGGAUUAAAGGGAGCGUAGGCGGGCUAUCAAGUCUGGGGUGAAAUCCCACGGCUCAACCGUGGAACUGCCUCAGAUACUGACGGCCUCGAGGGAGAUAGGGGCAUGCGGAACUGUAGGUGGAGCGGUGAAAUGCGUUGAUAUCUACAGGAACUCCGGUGGCGAAAGCGGCGUGCUGGAUCUCUUCUGACGCUGAGGCUCGAAAGCUAGGGGAGCAAACGGG